UUUAUGGUUUUCAACUGGGCUUCGUCUUACCUUAAUGUUUCUGUGUGUAAUCGUCAGGUUUAGUUAAUUGCUUCUGCAAAACUCACCGCCGAAGCAAAUAACCAAAAUUCGACCACCAUGACCAGAAAUUCCAGAAGCUAAUCGAUUUGAGUUCUUCAAAUCCGCACUGAAAUCUGUCGCCGUUAAGUAAGUCGAUCAGAUUCAAUGCAUCGUCAUUAACGCGAGCAUUGACAUUGAUUCUCCUUCCUAACACAUGUCUCAUUCAAUUCACAUCCUCUUUUCCUCCAUUGUGUGAAUCCAGAGCUAUAAAUAUAUCCGCCGUUGAAGUGCGACUUUUGAGUUUUUGGGAAAACAGCCGUAAGAUGAUAAAGGCAAUGGUGAUGAUGAACAGACAAGCCACAUUAUAAGGUGAUCUUGCUUCUUCUGGUUGCAAUUUUAAUUUUAGACAGACUGCAACCAAUUCUAAACUUACGACUUAUGGCUACAGCUAGAGAAGCAACGAUAGCUCAUAAUCAACGUGUUUUCAUGUAUGAUUUUUUAAAGGUUCCAGUCCACAAAUUGCCUUGGCAACUUGAUCCCUACUCUAGAUCUUAUAUUCUACAAUCUUUCACUAGAUCAUCUGUUAUUUUAAGAAUUGUUAGAGACUGUGUUUUUGACAUUGACCCGCUUAGGAAGCAUGGAUAGAAUGAUGAAGGCAUCAACAGUCGAGUCAGUUGAAAUUUCUUUUCCCUGCUUUAGAAAUCUGGUACGGUUACGAAUCAUUGUCAUCAACCUUCUAAUUGACUCCAUCUUUCCACUCAUUCCACGAUAUAAAUAUGUAAGUUUCUUGCAGUCAAAUUCAUUAUUUCAUUCUUCUCAAUUAAUUUGGAUAUGUUCUUAAGAGAGACUUGAACAGUUGAUGAGCGAAGAACAUGGCAGUGUCAUCUGUUUUGAUUUUUUUAUUCAGAACUUUAUUACUUGGAUUGUUGUUGUUUGAUUUUAUAGUAACUGUAUUUCCUUUGUGAGCUAUGGUGGUUAUACAAUUGCAGGUAAUUAAUCUGACGGAAGCGAAACCCCGUGAAUUUGUACUGUAUGGUUUAGUGUGUUUGGAGACGUUUGCAGCAGAAUGAAAUGACUGUGCAAGAGAAGGAAGAUAAUGAUGCAGAUCAUUGUGAGUAAUAUAUCCUUUGGCAAUGAGAAUUGGAUUUAUCAAGUUUGUGGCAAUAAAGAUGCUGAUAGGUGGCAGGUGGUGAUGGUACCUAUGAUUGUAUUCUUGAUUGUCUUGAUGAGAAACCCAAUAUUGUUAAUCUCUAGAGAUUAUUCAAUCAAAAUUAUAAUAACAAUAAAUGGGAAUUAUAGUAUUUUUGUUUUCUCAGUAUAUGCAAUUAUGUACUUUUAAUUA